rnacentral:rRNA from 1 species
GAUGAACGCUGGCGGCGUGCCUAAUACAUGCAAGUCGAGCGAACGGACGAGAAGCUUGCUUCUCUGAUGUUAGCGGCGGACGGGUGAGUAACACGUGGAUAACCUACCUAUAAGACUGGGAUAACUUCGGGAAACCGGAGCUAAUACCGGAUAAUAUUUUGAACCGCAUGGUUCAAAAGUGAAAGACGGUCUUGCUGUCACUUAUAGAUGGAUCCGCGCUGCAUUAGCUAGUUGGUAAGGUAACGGCUUACCAAGGCAACGAUGCAUAGCCGACCUGAGAGGGUGAUCGGCCACACUUGAACUGAGACACGGUCCAGACUCCUACGGGAGGCAGCAGAAGGGAAUCUUCCGCAAUGGGCGAAAGCCUGACGGAGCAACGCCGCGUGAGUGAUGAAGGUCUUCGGAUCGUAAAACUCUGUUAUUAGGGAAGAACAUAUGUGUAAGUAACUGUGCACAUCUUGACGGUACCUAAUCAGAAAGCCACGGCUAACUACGUG